GGAAAGUCCGACGGUACAGGGUGAUAGUCCCGUACACCAAAAUGCACAGGCUGUGAACUCGAAGAGUAGGGCGGGACACGUGGUAUCCUGUCUGAAUAUGGGGGGACCAUCCUCCAAGGCUAAAUACUCCUGACUGACCGAUAGUGAACCAGUACCGUGAGGGAAAGGCGAAAAGAACCCCGGCGAGGGGAGUGAAAAAGAACCUGAAACCGUGUACGUACAAGCAGUGGGAGCACCUUCGGGUGUGACUGCGUACCUUUUGUAUAAUGGGUCAGCGACUUAUAUUCUGUAGCAAGGUUAACCGUAUAGGGGAGCCGCAGGGAAACCGAGUCUUAACUGGGCGUUAAGUUGCAGGGUAUAGACCCGAAACCCGGUGAUCUAGCCAUGGGCAGGUUGAAGGUUGGGUAACACUAACUGGAGGACCGAACCGACUAAUGUUGAAAAAUUAGCGGAUGACUUGUGGCUGGGGGUGAAAGGCCAAUCAAACCGGGAGAUAGCUGGUUCUCCCCGAAAGCU
rnacentral:rRNA from 1 species